AGUCUUCUGUAUUCAUGCUGAGAUUUCGUGGUCAGUUAACUCAUUGGGACUAAUGCAACUCCCCAAAUAAGUGAAGCG
rnacentral:pre_miRNA from 1 species